UGAAAAUAUAUUUAUUCUUGUAUAUAAGCUUUAAUGUGGUAAGCAAGUUUCUACCCCAUAACCGUAAAUAUUGGGACUACGAGAAAAGAUA
rnacentral:ncRNA from 1 species